rnacentral:rRNA from 1 species
AUGGCGCUCGUACGCGGUCGGCCAGCCUCCCUCCUACUCCUCGCGGCUCUCCUCUGCGCCGCAACCUUCCUUGCCGUCCCGGCCGCGGCCACGGGGAAGACCGGCCAGGUGGCCGUGUUCUGGGGUAGGAACAAGAACGAGGGGUCCCUCCGCGAGGCCUGCGACACCGGCACCUACACCAUCGCCAUCAUCUCCUUCCUCGACGUCUUCGGCCGCGGCAACUACCACCUCGACCUGUCCGGCCACGACGUCUCCGCCGUCGGCGCCGACAUCAAGCACUGCCAGUCCAAGAACAUCCUCGUCUUCCUCUCCAUCGGGGGCUUCGGCAACCAGUACUCCCUGCCCACCGCCCAGUCCGCGGCGGACGUCGCCGACUACAUCUGGAACGCCUACAUGCUCGGCACCCGCAAGGGCGUCUACCGCCCGUUCGGCGACGCCUUCGUCGAUGGCAUCGACUUCUUCAUCGAGAACGGCGCGCCGGCCAACUACGACGAGCUGGCCAAGCGGCUCUGGAACUUCAACAAGGACUUCCGCGGCAGGACGCCGGUGCAGCUGACGGCCACGCCGCGGUGCGGCUACCCGGACCGGCACGUGGAGUGGGCGCUCGCCACGGGGCUCGUCGGACGCAUCUUCGUCAGGUUCUACGACGACGCCGACUGCGCCGCCAACUGGCAGCGACAGUGGGACAAGUGGACGGCGGCGUACCCGUCGGCGCAGAUCUACCUCGGGCUGCCGGCGUCGGAGCAGAAGGUCGGUUACGUUCACCCAAAGAACCUCUACUACAGCGUCAUACAGGUGGCGCAGAAGGCGGCCAACUACGGCGGCGUCAUGGUGUGGGAACGCUACGAGGACAAGCGGACCAACUAUAGCAGCUACGCUAUCCAAUGGGCUUGA